rnacentral:tRNA from 1 species
GGAGGUAUAGCUCAGUGACAGAACACCUACCUUCAACAGGCAUGAACUCUGAGUUCAAACCUCAGUACCACCA